ACUUUAAAACGAGUUCGAAUUGCAAAACCACGUUCUAUUGAAAUUAGAAAACAAGUCCUAACCCAUUGUGGAUUCAUCAACCUAAAUCCUACUCCUAGCCCAAUUGGGCAAAGCCCAAACAAAAAAAUAAAACCCUUCUCUUCUCUAUUCUUCACGUGAAAACCAAAAGAAAGAGAGAAAACCCUCCUUCAACCUCACGCAACUCAGCUUUUUUGCUCUCCCGCUGCUCGCCGCUCAGCCGACCACCAUCAACACGCAACCAGUGACUCAAGGCCCGACCACCGCACGCAACCGUGCUCAGCCUUGCCGCGAGCCACCGCUGUCCGCCGGCCAGCACUCCCCUUAAACUCUUGAAUUGGCGGAGAAUUCUCUUUAGGCGACUUUUGAAAGUGUUAAAGUGGCCUAUCAAUUUGUUUAUACAAGUCUCUAAGGAUCAAUAAGCGUUGCCCAUCUACAGGUUUGAAGAUGAUGCAUCAUUGGGAUCGGGAUUAGAGAGCUUGUAGUUCUAUUUGUUUAAUUAAGUGAUUUAAUUUGUUAACUUGGAUUUGAAAUUUGUCGUACUAUUCGUAUUUCCUUAUUUCAGUUAAUUGGUUUGGACCUAAUAUGUAAUAGAUUAUUUAUGAACCUAAAAGUUAGUUUUAUGUUUUCCGCUGCAAAAUUCUGAAUAAGCCGUAACGUUUUCACACGGGCGAUAAUACUUUGAUAAUUCCCUACAGUUAUAUUUA